UUACCAACGAGACGAUUCAUCGGACGAAUCCAUGGAUAUGAAGUCAUACCAAGGAAAUUUAUCUUUAGAGGAAGAAGAAAAUCAGGUUCCCCCAGAUUUUCCAGAGCCAGCUCAAGUAGAUCAUCUUAUCUACAAAGUACGUAAAUCUUAAAGAAGCAGUUACAGAACCAUCAACUUCUAAUCGCUAUUUCUCAGACUUGAGAAGGAAAAGAGCAACCUUCCCGGUACAUGAUACCAU